rnacentral:rRNA from 1 species
GACGAACGCUGGCGGCAGGCUUAACACAUGCAAGUCGAACGCCCCGCAAGGGGAGUGGCAGACGGGUGAGUAACGCGUGGGAACAUACCCUUUCCUGCGGAAUAGCUCUGGGAAACUGGAAUUAAUACCGCAUACGCCCUACAGGGGAAAGAUUUAUCGGGGAAGGAUUGGCCCGCGUUGGAUUAGCUAGUUGGUGGGGUAAAGGCCUACCAAGGCGACGAUCCAUAGCUGGUCUGAGAGGAUGAUCAGCCACAUUGGGACUGAGACACGGCCCAAACUCCUACGGGAGGCAGCAGUGGGGAAUAUUGGACAAUGGGCGCAAGCCUGAUCCAGCCAUGCCGCGUGAGUGAUGAAGGCCUUAGGGUUGUAAAGCUCUUUCACCGAUGAAGAUAAUGACGGUAGUCGGAGAAGAAGCCCCGGCUAACUUCGUGCCAGCCGCCGCAGUAAAAC